rnacentral:rRNA from 1 species
CUAAGGGAGGGCUAGCGUUGCUCGGAAUCACUGGGCGUAAAGGGCGCGUAGGCGGCCUGAUAAGUAGGGGGUGAAAUCCUGCGGCUUAACCGCAGGGCUGCCUUCUAAACUGUCGGGCUCGAGCACAGUAGAGGCAGGUGGAAUUCCCGGUGUAGCGGUGGAAUGCGUAGAGAUCGGGAAGAACACCGGUGGCGAAGGCGGUUAGCUGGGCAGUUGCUGACACUGAGGCACGACAGCGUGGGGGAGCAAACAGG